GAACGCUGGCGGCGGGGCUUAACACAUGCAAGUCGUGGGAUAAGCGGGGCCUUCGGGCCCUGCAGACACCGGCGGAUGGGUGAGUAACGCGUAGGCAAUCUGCCUACAGGACGGGGAUAACGUUCCGAAAGGGGCGCUAAUACCCGAUGAUGCAGCGGGGGCGCAUGCCCACAGUUGUUAAAGGCCUUCGGGCCACCUGUAGAGGAGCCUGCGUGCCAUUAGCUAGUUGGUAGGGUCAAAGCCUACCAAGGCAAUGAUGGCUAGGGGGUCUGAGAGGAUGAUCCCCCACACUGGGACUGAGACACGGCCCAGACUCCUACGGGAGGCAGCAGUGAGGAAUCUUGCGCAAUGGGGGCAACCCUGACGCAGCCACGCCGCGUGCUGGAAGACGGCCCUAUGGGUUGUAAACAGCUUUUGAGCGGGAAGAACCCGGGGGAUUCGUCCCCCGCUGACGGUACCGCUAGAAUAAGCACCGGCUAACUCCGUGCCAGCAGCCGCGGUAAUACGGAGGGUGCAAGCGUUGUCCGGAAUUAUUGGGUGUAAAGGGUGCGCAGGCGGAAGCCUAAGUCGAGGGUGAAAGACGACCGCUUAACGGUCGCAGUGCCUUCGAUACUGGGUUUCUUGAGUCCGGAAGAGGUUGGUGGAAUUCGUGGUGUAGCGGUGAAAUGCAUAGAGAUCACGAAGAACACCAGUGGCGAAGGCGGCCAACUGGUCCGGUACUGACGCUGAGGCACGAGAGCGUGGGGAGCGAACAGGAUUAGAUACCCUGGUAGUCCACGCUGUAAACGAUGUAUGCUAGUUGUCGGCCCUUUGGGGCCGGUGACGCAGUUAACGCGCUAAGCAUACCACCUGGGGAGUACGUUCGCAAG
rnacentral:rRNA from 1 species